rnacentral:lncRNA from 1 species
AGACACCCCGGGGCCGGGCUGGCGUUGCUCAGGCAGCUGGUUCUGCGCGCUGGGCAGCUUCAUCUGCCCGCCUAGGUGGCUCCACGGGGCGGGCCCCUCGGCCAGGGAGGGCGGGGCGCACAGGGAGACUUAAAGAGCUCCCCAGGUCCCCACCCGCGCCUGACCGCGGCAGCUCCCACCAUGGCGGAGACCAAGCUCCAGCUGUUUGUCAAGGUGCAGGGCGGACUCAGCUGCGGGGAGGGUGUCUGGGAGGAAGCGCUUUUCUGGGCUUUGCUUUCUGUGGCAGGCUGUGGGGUGGGCCUCCCAGUAAUGUCUGAGCCCCUUCCUGUGGGUGGCUAGGGGGACUCGCCAAGACAGACACGCUGCAGAUCGAGGACUUUCUGGAGGAGACGCUGGGGCCGCCCGAGUGAGAGCCCCGGCAGGGUGGGAGGGGAAAAGAGGGGGGCCCAGGGAGGACGCGCGCAAGACAGAGCCCAGGAAGGCGCUGUGGGGGUACUGUGGGGCCGGGACGGGGCUGCCCCCAGUCUAAUGGAGUCCCACCCCCUCAUCCCGCAGCUUCCCCAGCACCCAGAACACAGGCCCAGGGGUGUUCCCUGAUCCCUUCCCAGGCCAGUGCCAGGAGUCAGAGCCCCACCAGAGCCUCCAACCAAGGGAGCUGUUUAUUUGACAGGGAAGGAAUUUGAGGAGCCGUGUUAGUCCUGGCCCAGGACAGGCAGGUGGAGGUGGUGGCGGGGCCACAGCUUGCUGCUCACAGGCUGCCCUGGGAGAGGAGAGGUGCGGAGAGCUGUGGCAGACCCUCCUCCUCCCCACCCGUCCUUCCUCCCUGCUUGGGUCUCACCUGAACCGGGGGGUGAUGUCCUCAGCCGCACUCAGGCCAAAACGGGCUUUCUAGAGAGCACAGGGGCUUGUCACGAGCUGCCUGGAACCCGAGGCCCACUGGGGGCACCCGAUUCCCAAGGCAUAGAGCACCUGGAAGCUGGGCCAAAAAGAGGAGCAAAAGGUCCGGAGAACGAGCUCUAGGGGAGUGGGGGCCAGUCAAGUUUUGGGGUAGCAGAGGUCAACAACCAAGGGAGGUAUUUGAGCAAGACUUCAGAGACGGGAGUGAGUGCACUGAGUGGCACUGGGAGAAGGGCAGUCCAGGCAGGGGUGACCUGGGCAAAGGCCCUGAGACACGUGAGGGGCUGGCAGCAGGACGGAGGGAGGGGAGUGGAUGGUGGGUCAAAGGAAAGCCUAAAAGAGAAGACCUUGUUGGCCACCAUCAAGACUUAGGCCUGAGGCCGGGCAUGGCGGUUCACGGCUGUAAUCCCAGCACUUUGGGAGGCCGAGGUGGGUGGAUCACCUGAGGUCAGAAGUUCAAGACCAACCUGG